GUCUUAAUAGGGCGGAUUAGUAUUAUGUCGUAGACCCGAAACCAUGUGACCUACCCAUGAGCAGGUUGAAGGUGCGGUAAGACGCACUGGAGGACCGAACCAGGGCACGUUGAAAAGUGCUUGGAUGACUUGUGGGUAGCGGAGAAAUUCCAAACGAACUUGGAGAUAGCUGGUUCUCUCCGAAAUAGCUUUAGGGCUAGCGUCGACAUUUGAGAAUCUUGGAGGUAGAGCACUGUUUGGAUGAGGGGGCCAUCUCGGUUUACUGAUUUCAGAUAAACUCCGAAUGCCAAUGAUUUAUGGUCGGCAGUCAGACUGCGAGUGCUAAGAUCCGUAGUCGAAAGGGAAACAGCCCAGACCACCAGCUAAGGUCCCAAAAUAAUUGUUAAGUGGAAAAGGAUGUGGGG
rnacentral:rRNA from 1 species